GCGCGAAAACUUUACAAUGCUGGCAACAGCGAUAAGGGAACCUCGAGUGCCAGGUUACGAAUCUGGCUGUCGAGAUGCCUAAAAAGCAUUUCAUAGCAAGGGCCGGGCAAGACCGGUGCCAGCCGCCGCGGUAACACCGGCGGCUCGAGUGGUAACCGUUAUUAUUGGGUCUAAAGGGUCUGUAGCCGGCCGGAUAAGUCUCUUGAGAAAUCUGGCAGCUUAACUGUCAGGCUUUCAGGAGAUACUGUCUGGCUCGAGGCCGGGAGAGGUGAGAGGUACUUCAGGGGUAGGGGUGAAAUCUUGUAAUCCUUGAAGGACCACCAGUGGCGAGGGCGUCUCACCAGAACGGACCUGACGGCAAGGGACGAAAGCUAGGGGCACGAACCG
rnacentral:rRNA from 1 species